ACAUUAGUUUAGGGCAUCACUAUUUCAAAAAACACUUAGCAGCAUAUGUUUAAUUAAUAUUUGCUAAUUUUGAGUAAUACUCUUUUUAGAAAAAAAAAAUUAUUUUAAAAAGAUACAUAUUUUACAUUAUCAAUACAUGUACUAAUAUAAAUUGUAAACUUUGAAAACAGUAAUUGUAUUCACCAUUCAUUUAAACGAGCAUUCUAAUCAUCAUCGUUACCAUAAUCACAACAACGAAACCUUCAGAGGGUUCUCAUCAUCAAUGAAGAUCUUCACCAAAUUCCGCAAGAUUCUCAUGAAUAUCAUCUUCACCCUUCCAUCCUCCUCUUCCUCUGCCACCAGGCGCCGUCACAAAACGCCUACUCCUGCAAUGGCGGUGAGAGGCUAGAGACGCCGAAGAUAUCAUGCAGUAACUCCAACAUUACAGACUCAUAUUGACUCUGUUAAUCAAACCGGGGGAUCCGCAUCCAUGUGAACGACGUGAGACGGUUGCUUUCUUGCACUGCGUGCUAGAUUGUCCGCCUUUUUGUUAUUCGUCCUUGGUACAUGAAUGAUCUCCGUAGUAUUGAAACUACUCCUCAAACUUCUUAUGUCUUCUAAGUAGGUUGCAAAGGCUGGCCAUUCAUCUGGUUCCGAAACCA